rnacentral:rRNA from 1 species
AUUGAACGCUGGCGGCAUGCCUUACACAUGCAAGUCGAACGGCAGCGCGGGAGCAAUCCUGGCGGCGAGUGGCGAACGGGUGAGUAAUACAUCGGAACGUGCCCAAUCGUGGGGGAUAACGCAGCGAAAGCUGUGCUAAUACCGCAUACGAUCUACGGAUGAAAGCAGGGGAUCGCAAGACCUUGCGCGAAUGGAGCGGCCGAUGGCAGAUUAGGUAGUUGGUGAGGUAAAGGCUCACCAAGCCUUCGAUCUGUAGCUGGUCUGAGAGGACGACCAGCCUCACUGGGACUGAGACACGGCCCAGACUCCUACGGGAGGCAGCAGUGGGGAAUUUUGGACAAUGGGCGAAAGCCUGAUCCAGCCAUGCCGCGUGCAGGAUGAAGGCCUUCGGGUUGUAAACUGCUUUUGUACGGAACGAAACGGUCUUUUCUAAUAAAGAAGGCUAAUGACGGUACCGUAAGAAUAAGCACCGGCUAACUACGUG